rnacentral:ncRNA from 1 species
UCCACCGUGAGGUGGAAUCUGAAGGAAGCCUCAGGCAAACUCUCGGUCUGACGGACAGAAACUACAUAUAAGGCCUACGAUGCUGGAUGAGGUUGCAACACAAACUAAAGUCCUAUACUGUACAGAAGCAUCAAGGUAAAUGUAGCAGACACAUGAGAGGAAAGUUAUCGUU